UUUGGAGAAGAAUUCAAUCUUCUUUCACUAUGGGCAGACUCUCCCUUGCCAUUUUUGUGCAAAUCUUGGACAUCUCAUAUGCAUCUUCAUCUUUUUUCCCUUAUUUCAGGCUGCGAAAUCCUUCUUAUCCAAAGGUUACAAUAGAAUCUCCCAUUUGGAGAAAUCACUGAACCAAAUCAUGUGAAGCCUUAAUACUUACCAGACAAAUUUUAACUCAAUUGAGGUUUUGAAUUCAAUUUUCCGCCCAAGAAAGAACACCCGGAACCCUACCUUCGCAUCUAUAAAUACCAAGAGACUAGGGAGCCUUGCGGGGGUUUUGAGUCCAAAAUCGUCAAGUUCCAAGUGUGGGCUUCGCGAUCUAAUGUUACCCAUUCACUGCCCCGUGGAAGAGCCGAAGAGUCUCGUGACGAGGCUCAACGUCGCCAUCAGACAUUCUCAAUCAUGGAGCCAAUGCAUAUCUAUUUUGAACCCACUUAAUCUCCCCAGCACUAUACAUAAAUAGUGGAGAAGAUAGUCAUCUCAUCUCUAGGACUAUUCAAAUAGUCUUGUUCAUUCCUAUUUAACUACUCACUUUUCUCGUUAACUGAUAUCCUCGUUUUGAUUCAUAAUUUAUCUUUACAUGCUUUAUUUAA